AUUGAGCGCUGGCGGCAGGCCUAACACAUGCAAUCGAGCGGAUGAAGGGAGCUUGCUCCUGGAUUCAGCGGCGGACGGGUGAGUAAUGCCUAGGAAUCUGCCUGGUAGUGGGGGAUAACGUCCGGAAACGGGCGCUAAUACCGCAUACGUCCUGAGGGAGAAAGUGGGGGAUCUUCGGACCUCACGCUAUCAGAUGCGCCUAGGUCGGAUUAGCUAGUUGGUGGGGUAAAGGCCUACCAAGGCGACGAUCCGUAACUGGUCUGAGAGGAUGAUCAGUCACACUGGAACUGAGACACGGUCCAGACUCCUACGGGAGGCAGCAGUGGGGAAUAUUGGACAAUGGGCGAAAGCCUGAUCCAGCCAUGCCGCGUGUGUGAAGAAGGUCUUCGGAUUGUAAAGCACUUUAAGUUGGGAGGAAGGGUAGUAAGUUAAUACCUUGCUGUUUUGACGUUACCAACAGAAUAAGCACCGGCUAACUUCGUG
rnacentral:rRNA from 1 species